rnacentral:rRNA from 1 species
UACGUAGGGGGGCUAGCGUUGUCCGGAAUCAUUGGGCGUAAAGAGCGCGUAGGCGGCCAGAUAAGUCCGGUGUGAAAGUCAAAGGCUCAACCUUUGAAUGCCGCUGGAAACUGUCUGGCUAGAGUCCGGGAGGGGCGAGUGGAAUUCCUGGUGUAGCGGUGAAAUGCGCAGAUAUCAGGAAGAACACCGAUGGCGAAGGCAGCUCUCUGGGACGGUACUGACGCUGAGACGCGAAAGCGUGGGGAGCGAACAGG